GAUUGCCCGCUCAAAUGCGGUUGUUAAUUCUUCUCCCCUUUUUAGUUCUUCGUCGUCAAUAAAAGCAUUGAUUCCAGCCUUUGUUAAUGCUUCAUAGAGGUGGCCCGUGAAGUUUUUACGUGUGUCUUCGCCUCUGAAGCUUAUGAACACGUCGUAGAGCGAACCUUUUGAGAAGGAGGACGAGGACAAGGAGGCGGAGGUGGACGAUGAGGAUGAGGAUCCGGGUGAGGAGGAGGAGGACGACGAGGCUUUAUUGGGGACUGAGGCAUUCACUUGGUGAAAGACGAGGCCGAGGGAGCAGAGGAGGAAGAUGAGGACAUCAAAGACAAGACCGGAAUUGCGAGCCGCAAAGUGGUAGGACACCAACACCAGCACCAAAGUUAACAGCUUCCCUAAGCUCGACCAGGUAUCCAUUUCCUUCAUUUUCUUUAGGCAAAUUGAAGGUUUUUGGAGAGGAUCCUCUCCGGACCCAAACCCACCGGAGCCUCCGGAUCUUCCUCCUUCUUCCUUCUUCUCUGCAGAUUUCCUUCUUCCUUCUUCUCUGCAGAUUUGGUUCUGCUUCUUCUUCAAUUCUUCUUCUUCAAUUAUGCAUCUUCUUCUUCACUUCCUUCUUCCUUCUUUGUUUGUGUAUCGGAAAACUUUCUUCUUCAAUUAUGCAUCUUCUGCAUCUUCUCCGACAACCAGCUCCGAGGAAGUCACGACGCCGGCUUCGGGAAAGCACGACGCCGGCUCCGGGAAAGCCCAAGAUGCCGACGAAGACGGAUCCGGAUGCUCCGGUGGGUUUGGGUCCGGAGAGGAUCCUCUCCCAAGGUUUUUGGCGAUAUUGAUUUUCUUUCCGUUCUGCCGGAACUACUUUCUUCUUCUUAUGAUUAAUAAACCCGUCAGCCCAUGAGGCUGGGCCCCAUUUCCCUCAGCCUUUUCCUUUUUCCUUUACUUUUUUCUUCUUUUUUGGCGAUUUUCCUUCACUUUUGGUCAAUCAUGUGCGUUUUCAUUGGACGGAGGACUAUGCAUGUUGGGUGAUCGCCAAACGGCUGGAAAAAAUUUAUAACCAAGCGGACAUUUUUUUUUUCUCUGAUGUUCAACUGCAAGCAGAAAUUCUGUUAGUUUAAAGGAUUUAAGGAUUAAGUGCAUUUUUUAAAGAGGAUUAGCUUGGAAGGGAUAACUAAGCAUAUUUAAAAGAUGAGUUAAAAUGUCCACAUCAGCAAUAACAGUAAAAAAAUACAGCAUUAGUGUCAGCAACUUCAAUUUUUUUUUAACAAACGAUAUUAUCAGGAAUGUCUCACAAUAAGCUAAUAAUAAUGUGGUUCAAACUUUUAUUCUUACUUUUUGUUCUAAAUACUUAUUAAAAUCAUGAAAAAUAAAUAAUAUAAUAAAAAGUGGUUUAAAUUUGACAUAUCAGAUGAAGAAUAAAAUUUUAAAAAAAAAUCAAAGUGCCACAUAAGCUUUCAAAUUUAAAAUCUACUUUGGAAAUGAACAAAUCAGUUGUUUUUUUUAUGGAUUUCUUUAUAGAUAAUGUUGGCGGUAUUAGAAAAUUUUAUUAACAUGAAAAAAAAUAUACUUAAUCAAUGGACAUAAACCUUAACCCUUAAUUUGGUCCAAGAUAUUAUUAGAGAAUUCCCACUUGAUUUGGUCCCAUAUAAUUUUAUUUUCCCUGCUAGCAAGAUUAUGAAUUCCAACUAUCUUUAGUUUUGUUGGAAUAAUUUCCCUAGCCAUAAUACAAAAUUAAGAAUACCAACUUUGCUUUUGUUUUUUUCGGCUAAAACAAUAAAAAAUAAAUAAAAAAAUCAAGAUCAAAGAAAAUGAUAGGAAAGAGCAACAGUGACACACCCCGUCCCGAAGGAGGGCAUGCUGGCCGUCACGUGAGAGUGACGUAACCAUUUGCACAGUACGGAAGCUUUAAUUAUACAAUUUAUAAGUUGAUACACCCGAAGGUGAGUCCUAAUUUUGUCCAAUCUGUCAGAACCCCGCUGUAUUCCUCGUAGUCACCACACCUUUGUGAUUCCUGAACCUGGAGGGGCGCAAAACCAAAAUUGAGUGGGUCAGUAAAACAAUUCUUUUCCAAAUCCAAACAUUUCUCAAAACGUUGUAACCCCUCUCCGUAAAACCUGUAUACUUUCCCAGAAAUGUAAAAUAUAAAUAUACAUAUAUAUUCUCAAAACUUCAUUUUUACUAUCUCAACAUUAUCUCUUUAUCAAUCAUGCCAUGCCAUGUCAUCUCAACAUUUCUCAUAUUAAUUAUGCCAUGCCACAUCAUCUCAACAGUAAUAAGGUAUGAAUGCAUCAACAUAAUCAUAUCAGGUGCAAGAAAGUAAUCAACCGUAGGCCCUCUAAUAGCCCUAUACGGUUGAACCUAGAGCUCAAAAUCUAUCAUUAUCACUCUACCGGAGUCACCUCUGUGACCCGUCCGGCCUUCUGCACACAAGUUACGCUCUAGUGCUUCUCAUAAAUCAUCUGUGCACAUAAUCUAAGGUCACCCACCAGUCGGAAUCUCACUAACACUCUCGCGACUGGUCUGUCGUACCCACUCCGCGUGGACUGUACGACUAGCAUCUACUUGGAUCCAAGGCGAGCGUGCGAUGCGGUGAAUACUAUAAGCACUAAACCAUGGUGCAGGAUUUGAGCUCAAUAUAUAUCAUCAUCAUCAUAACAGUAAUUAAAUACUCAUCUGUGCGUCCACCGCACCAUUUCAUACAUAUGCAUCAUAAAUCAAUUCUUACAUGUGCGUCCACCGCACCAAUUCAUACAUAUGCAUCAUAAAUCAAUUCUUACCUGUGCGUCCACCGCACCAAUUCAUACAUAUGCAUCAUAUAUUAAUUCAUGCAUGGCAUUUCAACUCACAUUUUUUAUAUUACUUUUCAUAUCAAUUCUAUGCAUGGUAUUUCACUUCCCGUUUUUCCACAUAACUCAUAUGCAUUUCAUUUUAAACAUAAUUUCAUGCAUUUUCAAUUUCUGGGAAAACGUUAAGUAUAUAUAUAUAUACGGAAAACAAAACUGCCCACUCACCUGGAGUUCGUUCCAACAACUCCCUAGCACCACACAUCAAAGGCGUCACGACGAUCGCCGCCUAGAAAUAGUAAUCAAAUCCAACCUCAGAAUUCAUAUCGAUAGAAUAUAUAUAACUUAUAUAAAUACGUCACUACGUAGUUCGAUCCGGAAGAUCUGCCACUCAGAUUUUAAAAUCCAUAACUUCCAGAGGUCCACAAUAUAUCUCUAGGAUAACAUCCUAAAAUUUCAUUACCAUCCAACGGUCGGAUCUCCGUCAAUUUCCAAAAACUAAGUGACGGUUAACAUUUUAUAUUAUGGACUUACAAUUCCAAUUCCGGAAGAUCCGUAACUCGGAUUUCCCAAUCCGUAAGUUCCAAUAAUCCUCAAAUAUUACGUAUUACAACGUAUCAAAGUUUGGUGACGAUCCAACGGUCGGAUCAUCAAUUCACAUUUUCACCUAAAUGUGAAAACUAUAAAACGUUAUUUGAACACCUAACCAACAAUCCUCAAUAACUUUCUCAUACGGUGUUCAAUUUAGGUAUAUGAAUAUACCACAGUGAUCUACUCGACGUCACGGACGUCGACAUAUUUUUAAAAUAAUUUUAUUUUUAUUUUAUUUUUAUUUUUACUGUAGCACCUUCUUCCUCCUUGGGUCGCCGGACUGGUUUUUCCGGCGGCCGUUUUCCGGGCAGUUUUUCAAAUUGCCAUAACUUUGUCAUUUCUCAACGAAAUCAAGUGAUUCAAAAACAAAAGUUGUAGCCCUUGAAGAGACAAAGAGAAUGGUACCUUGCACAACACCUAUUUCGCCGUGGUUUGGCCGGAAACUGCCUCGAAAGCCUCGGAGGUCGCCGGAAACUGGGUAUUUUUCAAAUGAGUAUAACUUCUUCAAUACUCAACGAAAUUGAGUGAAACAAAAAGGAAAGGUGUAGUAAUUGACGAGACGAAGAGAUUGAUACCUACUUCGACUCCUAACUCGCCGGGGAUUCGCCGGAAAACGCCUCGAAAGCUCCGGCCAAACUUUGAACUUGUCGAUCUCCGUGUUCUUACGUCCAAAAACUUCCAACGAAAGCACUCCGAGCUUCCUUGGGACCUCACUAAGCUUGCUAUGAUCUUAUUUUGGCCUAAAACACAACCACUUCAAAGAUCAUGAACAGUACACAUUCACGGGGUCUUUAGAACUAGGGUUUUUCGAAAUGAAACUUACCUGAAAAUGGUACCUACGUGAUCGUGAAGUCCUCAGGGUUGCAAUGGUAGUCUUAACUUGGACGUUGGUAUAGGUUUUAGGUGGUUUUGGUGGUUGCCCGUGCGUUCGAGAAGAAGAGAGAGAAUGAGAGUUUCUGAGGAAGAGAGAGAGUAUGAAGGACAGUAUACGGGAAAUGGGGAGGGUUUUGAGGUGUGGGGAUCUCACAUGUCCAAACCAAUCCCAAUUUCAUAAAAUUCCAUCAUAAAAUUUAAGUCUAAGUCUCCACUCCAAUUACCAAAUUUUUUUGGAGCUUAGAUAUAACGAACGUGAAAAUUAUACCUUAGUCACGUAUUAGGGACAUUUCCGUAAUUUCAUGUCCUCGGAAUUAAAAAUUCCGGCACGGGCUGUGACAAACAGCUUGCAUAUGUAUAGUUUAUAUGACAGUGAAUCAUAUGCUUUUGCUUAUAUCUUUAUUUUAUUUUUAUGAGUUCGUGUUUGUACCAAGAUAGCUGUCAAUUUAAGAUUAGUAUUGAAUGGCUCUAUAAUAAACAGCCCAACUUUCCAAGAUCCGGAAUCAAGUGGGUCUAAAGAAUUGCAUAGCUUGGGUUAUCAUCUUGAGGACCCAUAUCAUCUGGAUCAGACCAAGGCCAACGCCCACCGUACAUAUUGAGCCUAUGCCACUUUUCGGCUGGAGAAUGGAGUUCAAACACUUGGAUUAACAAACCACCAACAUCUGCACAUAUAGGCCGGGGCAUAUUUUGUAUAGCCCAUCGAAAAAAAAGAGAUUGUAACUAUAUGAGAUUUCAGGUUGUGAUUAACACUAACAAAUUAACUAAAACGAAUGUGUAGAAUUUUAAGCAACCAGUUAACAAGAAAGUUAAUCCUCUGACUGAAUAAAGUUGCAGGCAUUGAGUUUAGCAGCAUUAUUAACAAGGAAGAGCAUAAACCAUGCAACUCCAUCAUCAUGCAUGAGUGGUAUUUUUGGAAAUACAAACAUACCUGCAUAUGAGGGUCCUAAUUGUCAUGAAAAUCUAUAAGCAUCUUAAAAAAAAAAAAAAAAAUUCUCACUCAUAUAUCUGUUUCAAAUUUAUAUAGACAAUAAUCAAAGGGCUCAAUUACUAGUGCACCUUUGAAAGUGUGAAAAAAAUCUCAUCCUGCCUCUUGAAACUUAUUUUGAUCCAAUUUACUUACUUUUUAAAAUAUGUAAAUGUGUCUCAUUUUAUCGUAUAUUGUUGGUUUCAGUAAGUUUUUCUUCAAUGUCGGCUCACGUUAACGUGUCAUCCAUGUGUCAAAAGAUAGAGUACCUUUUUGUCUUUUCCGGUUCUCCAACUCAAUACAAGUCAGUUCUUCUCCUUCACUUCUUUAGCUCAUUUCACUCUCCCUUUCUAUCUCUCACUGAUUUCUAUCUCUUGGUCUUUUUGACUUUUGGCUAAAUAAUGUUUAAAAAGUAUGAGUUUUCACCUUUUUUAUAAUUUGUGAUUCUCUUGUCCACAUGUCAGUGAGAGAGUUAUGUUUAACUCAUAUAAAUGACAAGUUUGAUAUUCAGUUAUUACUUUCUUAUUGCGUGUCUUUAACCGCAAAUUCAUAUCUCAAUAAAGCGUGCAACAAAUCAAGUCUUACUGUAGUAUUUGAGAAACAUUAUAUGUUAAAAUUACAAAGCAAUCUUUUGUAUAAAUUAAGAUAAAAUAUUGUUCAGAUUAUCGAAUCACAUGCAUAAUUUCCCAGUGAUUCAUAUAAAACCUCAGCAAAGCCUUCUAUAAAUAACACUUCGUCUCUGGCAAUCUUCACACAAGCAUUAGCAAUCAAACGUGCUUUUCAAGGAAGGUAAUGAUAAGCUAAUUAACCUUGUUCGGCGACUGUUCUUGAACGAAAUGCGAUCUUUAGGACAUGAAUUGAAUCUCCAAAUUGGGGACAAACUUUUCACCCUCCCAAUGUCGAUGUAGUAAUCUAUCCCUGGAAAUUUGUUUACAUAAUCCUUGCCUCCCAUUAUAUAAAGUGACGGAACUUUAACAAUUAGAUUCGUCAAGCCGAAUUCUUCUCUAAGUGCCCUACCAAUACAUAACGUAAAGUUCAAGAAAUCAUUAACAUGUACUUACCACUUGAAUCCAAGUUAGCAGGGUUAAACUAAUUUCAAAUGAUAAGUCUGAUGAUUCGAUAAUAAUGUUUUUUUCAUUAACUCUUCUAGUAUGCGGAAGUAGUAGUGAUUCGAAGAUCAAAUGCGUUACCUAUACGGAAUGUGCAGUGCAGUUUGGAAGCCCGAUUUCUCAUACAGAGCUCCAUAUGCAGCAAGAUCUUCCUUGGUGAACCAAGGGGGAAGAGGGUCAAAUGGAUCCACCAAGUCCAUGAUCUCCUGGUUUUCUACAGCUAUUGGUAUUUUGCUUCUGGAGAAAAGGAUGUAAAUGUUCCAAACAACUGUUUUCGCAUCAAAGCGCCUGAAAUCAGCCUCUGCCCGGCCAGGUUCCUAUAGUAGUGGUAACAGUAAGUUGUAACUUGUAAGCAAGCUAGUCAUGGCAUAGAUAUGGACAACAAGACCAAGAAAAUACACACCUGCCAUCUUGAAAUGUAUAAGCCCUCAGGGAGCUUUUUAACGAAUUUUAGAAGGCCUAGUGGCACGAUUGGCACUCCGAUUGUUAUAACUCCCAAGACCCUAUCUAGGUACGCAAGGGCAAAUAAGUACGUUGGCCGACCUCCAAAAUUCUUUUCCCACGAGGAAAACCUACGUAAAAUUUAUGAUCAAACGUGUUACAUUGCAAUUCUCUUAAGCUUUUACUGCAUAAUAUGAUUAGCACAUAAGGAAAUAUAAGUGUUAUAAUCCUUCAAACAAUAAGCUUUUCAUUUGCCGGAUAAACAACAAAGCAAAUAAAUGCACGUUGUAGUGAUUUUACACUCUCAUUCUCCUACUACACUCUCCUGUUUUUUGUAUCCUUGAACUCUUCUUUGAUUUAUUCAAUCCAUUAUGAACAAAUGCGCGCAAAAAAUGGGAGUUUGGAAAUCACAAAUGUCAUCUUUACAACAAAUUGCUUUUUCAAUCAAACUUGUAAUAACAACCAAACAAUGAUUAAUGAAAAAAAGAACCAACUUUCAAAUUUGAAGCUCAUUUUCUAGCCAAAAUUUAAAAAAAAAAAGGCCAAAAAUUAAAAACAAAAAAGUGUAUCUGAAAAUUUUGUACCUUAGGAAUAGCAAGGGAAUCGAUAAUUCCAAAGACGCCACUGAUGAGGUCGCGGUAGGAGGCUUUGUCUGGUUGGGAAGGCGGGUCGGAGAGUUCGUGUCCGCGAUAGUCGGGAGCAAUGGCUCGGAAGCUGGAGUGGGCGAGACCAAUCAUUUGGUGCCGCCACGAGUACCAAAUUUCAGGGAAAUCAUGUUGUUUCCAUGCAGUUUCUCAAAAACCUAAAAAAAAAUCAGCGAGUCGACUCAGCGAGUUCACUAACUUUCCUAAAAUAGGCAAAACUGUUUCAAAUUGUGCAAGCUCUUUAAAUUCAGCGGCUUUUCAUGCUUUUGUCUGCCGCAAUUGGAUUAUCCAGAGAGAUUUGACUGCCGAAGCCCUCAGAUUUUUUCAGGUGAUUGAUUUAUUCUUCUUGUAGUUGCCCUUUGUUUGUUCGAAUACCACAAAUUUGACUACUUUCUUUGUAUUUCUUGCUGAGAUUUUUUGUUUUUUUUGGUUGGUUUUAAGAAUUAAAAUCGGUUAAUACUAAAUACCAUUUUGGGUUUUGAGCGAGAUCUGUUGUAAUGUGCAGAGAUUAAGAAUUAAUAUUGUCUGAAAUUCAGAAAUUGUAAUUCUGGGAUUUGGUUGUUUGAGCUAGAAAUUUUGGGAAUUUGAGCAAUGGGUGUUCAAUACAGUCCUAGGGUUUGAAAGGGGAUAUUGGUUUCAAGAAGGUUUUCGACACGUUACCAAUGUCUUGGGGUUAGUUUUGAGCUGGAAAUUUUGAUAAUUAAAGAAGUGGGUGUUCCAUGUACAAUCUUAGGGUUGAAAGGAGGUUUUUUUUGGGGGAAAUUUUUUCGAUUUGUUGCCAUUGUGUGAGUCGGUUUUGAGCUGGGAAUUUAGGGAGUUUAAGCAAUGGGUGUUCCAUAUACAGUGUUAGGGUUAAAAGGAGAUGUUGUUUUCGAGGAAUGACUUAGAUGGGUUCAUAGAGGAUGAAGUUGAGCACCUGAUAUAUCUUGUGUUUCUUCAGUGUGAAAUUGUGAAUUAUUAGCCGUCAUCAAAAUUGUUAGUAGCAGAUUAGAAUUUUUAGGUUUCAAAAUUUUUGUUACAAACUAAUGUGUUCACUAUCAAGUUGAAGUAGUUUUGAACCAACAGAUGGUAAUAAUAUGUUGAUGAUUUUAUCUUCUUUUCGAAUGCUGACAUUAUGAGUUAUUCAGGAAUGCGAGUAAAACACCAAAACAUACCACAAGGGACAUGGGAUAAUGGCAGAAUUAGAAAAUUUGCUCUUGGAGGCCGCGGGAAGAACAAGUUCAUCGGGGAAAAACCGACACUCACAUUCAUCAGCUAGGAGGAGACAUGGAGGUUCAUAUUCUGAUGGAGGAAGUGACUCCAGAGGUGAUGAUUUUGACGAUGGUUGUGGCUAUGCAAGCGGGAAGCCCUCUGGACCUCAAGUUCACUUGAAGAAGAGGCUGGACCCAACAGAAAUAGACGAUGAACAGGGUAGCCAGGAAGAAUGUGGUUAUAACGAUAGUGGUUCGGAUCGUGGGGGGGACAACAAUGAAUUUGAUGUUGGCAGUGAUCUUUUCAAGGAUGAAGAUGAUAGGCGGAAGCUUGCAGAGAUGUCUGAACUUCAAAGAGCUAAUUUUGUCUGAAAGAGCACAGAAGAAAGAUGACAAGAGCUUAAAGGAGAAGUUCCGACCAAAGUGGGAUAAAGGGAAGACCCUACAGUCCCGGAAAGAGACUCCACCUCUUCCAUCCUCUCGGGUGCGUUCAUCAGCUAGAUCUGCUGACAGGGCAGCUGCCAAGGAUGAUGCAUUGAAUGAGUUACGAGCAAAACGUUUGAAGCAGCAGGACCCCUGAGGCUCACCACAAGUUGAAAGAUGCUUCUAGAGGAGGAAGUUCAAGCAGUCGAAGUUUCUAAAGCAUAAUUUUGAGCUGCCAAUAUCAUUGGUUGCUCUUCAGAAGUUUGGCAGGCCAUAGGGUGCUCAGAAAGGGUUCCUGGAGAAGACGGGAUGAGGCAUGCGCUGACGCUUACAGUUGGCGACUACAUGAGAAAAUUAGGGCUUCUCUAAACAUAUUAUAACCUUAAAUGCGUUAAAAAGUUGAAUUAAAUCACCACAGAAACAAGAAAGUUCAAACAAAGAGAACAUAUUACAAACAGAUCAAGGCACGCAAAAAAAUACAGACUCUAUCUACAAACUAGCUGAUAAAACCAGAAAGUUUACUAGCUUACACAGUCGUCGUCGUCGUCAUCAUCCUCAUCAUUAGCAUCACCGUCUUGGUCCUCCUCAUCAAAAUCCUCAUUGUCGUUGUCAUCAUCCUCAUCAAAAUCAUCUUCAUAUUCAUCAUCAAAAUCAUCAACUUCAGUAAAAGCUUCUUCUAUGGCCCGUUCGUAAGGGAUAGAAUGGUAAAGAAAUAACGAACCUUCGAAAGUCAUAAGUUUGUCGCAUACUAAACGUACCCCUAUUUUCUUCACCACGGUAGUUGGACAAUGUACAAUAACAUGAACCAAAUCGCCUUCUUCCAAAUUGAACUCAGUUUCCGACAACGAAAAAUUUCCAAGGCAAAGGAUUUCUUGAAAGGAAAAAACAUGUCCUAUACAGACAUAAAAACUAGUACCCUUGGUGUGAUUAAUAACAUAAAUAAAAGACGCCCGCUCAAAAUCAAUCGAGCUAACGUCAUCAUAAGGAACCAAAGCCAGGCACACAGCUAACGUUUUUGCAUUACAACCAAUUUCAUUAGGCACUUCAAAAGAGACUUGGGUACCUUCGUUGACAUAAUUGAACCAAGUGGGAAUUUGUCUUCCUACAAGAUUCAUAUAUCCACUUCCUGUCCAUCCCUAUACCAUGUUGAACAAGAUUUGUGUGAGUAAUACAUACAUAACAAAUAACACACAUAUUUGCGAGGGAGGGAGGAGGGGGGUGGUGGUGUGGAAGAGAGAGAGAGUACCUGUAGCGUGUUAUCCUUAAGAAGGAAAUCUAUGACAUUGUUGUGUGUGAACAUAUGAAGUUUGAGGCCCGAGUUUAACGCGCUAUCCAAGCCUGGAAACUCAAUGAGUUUGGGGGAACCAAGAGACACGGAUGUCGACAUGCCUGAAAAAUCUGGCAUUCUUUCUAAUGCAGAGCAGUCGUCCAUCUCCAGGAUAUCCAAACUUUUUGGUAAAUCUGUGAUCUCGACAAGGUUUCUGCAGCCAUUCAAUUUUAGUGCAUGAAGCAUGGAGAGGUCACUGAGGCUUGGAAGGCUCCGAAAAUUAUUGUUAUCUAGAAAUAAGUACACUAAACAAGGUAGACUACUCCCAACAUCAUUAGGCACUUCCAUUAAAUUGCUGUCUACCAAUUGUAAAUCUGUUAAAAAGUGUAAGCCUCGUAAGGAAGGUAGCUGCAAAGGACACUUCAAGUAACUCAAAGAUAAGCAAUCGAGCUUCUCCAGUCAUACGAUGGAAGCUGGUACUUUUUUUAUGGCCGUCCCAUCAGCAAAAAGAGUGACCAAUGAUGCCAUUUCCCCAAGUGCUCGGACAAGCUUCGGAAUCCUGAACAACCAUUGAGAACAAGAGUUUUGACAGAUUUCGACUUGUAGAAACUCCUCGGGAGAGCCUUAAGCGUUUCACAGUCUUUCAAAUUCACCAACACAAGACUCUUGAGAUCUCCGAUGGACUUGUGAACUUUAGCCAACCUCUUACAAUCUUUGAGUAUCAAUUUCUCAAGAUUUGGGAAUUUCGAAAAGUCUGGCGAUUGUGUUAGAUCGUGGGAGUGGCUGAGAUUCAAAAUCUUCAACUUACCAAGCAACUGUUAAGAAAAAUCAAAUUUAAAUAAAAAAUUUAAAUCCAAAAAAAAGAUACAGAGAGCAUAAAAAUAAUUCCGAACUUGGUUCAGGUCACACAUUGUACUUACCCCAGAAUACUCACAAAGAACUUGUUUGAGGCUGCUGUACUGCAUGUCGAUAGCGACUAUGUUUGGUUGACACAGUUCUAUUGGUAUGAUCUCCAAUGGGAAUCCAUGCCAGCACAGCCAUCUUAAUUUUUUGGAAAGACAUUGGUAUCCCCUAGCAAGCCGAACAUAGUUCAGUUGGAGCAAUCUCAGUCUCUUCAUAUUUCUAAACGCCUCAGUACUGAAACUAGUCUCUACAAGACUCGGCAAAUUCAAAGCAAGACCUUCAAUUUUUUCAGUUCCCUGCUAUCAUAAAAAACAAACUCCAAAUAAGAGAAGGCUUUGCAUGAAAAAAAGUUAGAUUACUAACUUACAUAUGCUUACAUGUUUAAUAUAAAGUUCAAUUGGGAAAGUACUUACAGAUUUGUCUAUCAAUACAUCAUUUACAUCUUCAGAACGCCACAAUCUACUCCGUCCUCCAGGGAAAUCGGGAUUUUCUGCAUGCACAAUAUCUCUGCCCAUAUCCCGAAGCAAAUCAUGCAUCAUAAUCUUGUUUUUUCUACCAAUAGUUACAAGGCACCGGUCAAGGAGGACCUCGAUUCCUGUAGUUGCAUAAAAGCCACAACCAUCCAAGAUUUGUAUGACAUAGUUCUUGUCCAUUCCGAUAAAAAAAAAAGCUAUAUCGAGGAACAUCCGCCUCUUGUAAUUAUCAUUUAGCCCGUCGUAGCUUAUUUUGAGUUGUGCCUGAAUUUCUCCAUGAGGAAUCAUUUUCAAUUCAUCCAAUAUACUUCUCCAUUCAUCUACACUUCGUUUGAAAAGAGUAGAUCCUAAAACUUCAAGAGCCAGCGGCAGUCUUCCACAGUAAUUGACAACUUCGCUUGCGAGCACAAGAUAUUGACUAGGACAACAACUACUUCUGAAAGCAUGCCAACUUAGGAGCUCAAGAGCCUCUUCUCGGCCCAUUCCUUCUGCCUGAUAUAUCUUAUCAACUCCAAAUUCUUUUAGCACACGUUCAUUUCUAGUUGUGAUGAUGAUUCUGCUCCCCGGGCCAAAAGAGUGGCAAUUUCCAGCUAAUUCGCGUAGCUGCUUCACAUUGUCUACAUCAUCAACUAUGACAAGUACCUUUAAGCGUCGAAAUCUUUCCCCUACCAGGGCAGUCCCUGCAGCAACAUUGCUUACUUUUGUCUUGGUGGUUUGCAAGAUAUCAGAAAGAAGUUGUUUUUGCAAUUUUUCAAGUUUCUUUUCCCUCACUUUUUCAAGGAAACUUUUACCUUGAAACCUGUCAGAAAAUCGAUUAUAAACGGCUUUAGCAAGCGUUGUUUUACCUAUUCCACCCAUGCCCAAAAUUCCAAUCACCCGAACAUCAUCUGAAUCUCCGAUGCAUAAAUAAUUACUGAUAUUUUGCACUCGAGAAUCUAUUCCGACUUGGUAGGGUGCUACGUCUAAGUAUGUGUUGUUCAGCUUUCUAGUGACUUCCUCAGUAAUCCUCCUGAUAAACUUUGCUUCAUGCCUGACAUUGGUCAAGUUGAGAAGCAAAACGAAGAUUGUUAUACAACUACAAGACGAAAUUGAACUAAUACACAAAAUUACUUUUCACGACGAGAGAUUUUAUUUAAGACAAUUUUCUUUGAGGUGUUGUGUUUAAACUUAGCAAACAUCAAUUAAAAAUUCAAAAUAGAAACACAAGCAAACAAAACCAGUAUCCCUUCCCUCUGCAGCCAUUCGCCGGCGGCUCCCCUGCUAUGAUUAGUGUAAGCUUAACAGUUGAAGCUUUAUUGUAUGAUUUUAUUAAAAGAGGUCUAAGAAAUCGCAUGCUUCCAAAUUAAUAAGCAAAGGAACGUUAAAGCCUAAAUUCAUAAGAGAAGAAAUUAGUAAGUACCCGUCUUGGAGAUCCCAGCCAGACAAAUUCGAAGCUUUAGUAAGAGCAGUUCUCCACCUCUCUACCUUACAACUCUCUACCUUCUUUUCAUCUAUAUGGUCCCGAAACGAUUGUCCAAAACAGUCAGUCUGUUUCCUGACAUGCGAAGGAUCAAUGUCAUAGAAUAUUCGACAAAACUAACUGCCCCAGCGUUCUUCUACACUCCAUGAUCUUUACCAGCUCCUCGAGGCACCAGCUGGAGUUCGCAUACUGUCUAGAGAAGACGAUGAUAGAGAUCUUAGAACCUUGGAUUGCCCUCUCAAAUGCGAUUGUUAAUUCUUCUCCCUUUUUUAGUUCUUCGUCGUCAAUAAAAGCAUUGAUUCCGGCCUUUGUUAAUGCUUCAUAGAGGUGGCCCGUGAAGUUUUUACGUGUGUCUUCGCCUCUAAAGCUUAUGAACACAUCGUAGAGCGAACCUUUUGAGAAGGAGGACGAGGACAAGGAGGCGGAGGAGGACAAUGAGGAUGAGGAUGAGAGCGAGGAGGUGAAGGAGGACGAUGAGGAUGAGGACGAGGAUGAGGAUCCGGGCAAGGAGGAGGACGAUGAGGCUUUAUCGGGGACUGAGACAUUCAUUUGGCGAAAGACGUGGCUAAAGGAGCAGAGGAGGAAGAUGACGAC
rnacentral:lncRNA from 1 species